UACUGAGGGGGCAAGCGUUGUUCGGAAUUACUGGGCGUUAAGGGCGCGUAGGCGGCCUGUUAAGUCGAACGUGAAAUCCCCGGGCUCAACCCGGGAACUGCGUCCGAUACUGGCAGGCUUGAAUCCGGGAGAGGGAUGCGGAAUUCCAGGUGUAGCGGUGAAAUGCGUAGAUAUCUGGAGGAACACCGGUGGCGAAGGCGGCAUCCUGGACCGGCAUUGACGCUGAGGCGCGAAAGCCAGGGGAGCAAACGGG
rnacentral:rRNA from 1 species